UUUUAUUCUUUUUAACAAGGAGCUGCGAAACUGCAGAGAAUAUGGGAGAAGGAACGAGAUGAAGAGAAAGCAAACCAAAGGAGCUGCGAAACUGCAGAGACAGCGGAAGAAGGAACGAGAUGAAGAGAAAGCUAACCAGAGGAGCUGUGGAGAAGUUGCUGUGAAAGCCAAAGAAGGAACUGGAUGAACACAAAGCAGACGUGAGGUAUGC